GACGAACGCUGGCGGCGUGCUUAACACAUGCAAGUCGAACGGUAAGGCCCUUUCGGGGGUACACGAGUGGCGAACGGGUGAGUAACACGGGGGUGAUCUGCCCUGCACUUUGGGAUAAGCCUGGGAAACUGGGUCUAAUACCGGAUAGGACUACGCGAUGCAUGUCGUGUGGUGGAAAGCUUUUGCGGUGUGGGAUGGGCCCGCGGCCUAUCAGCUUGUUGGUGGGGUGAUGGCCUACCAAGGCGACGACGGGUAGCCGGCCUGAGAGGGUGUCCGGCCACACUGGGACUGAGAUACGGCCCAGACUCCUACGGGAGGCAGCAGUGGGGAAUAUUGCACAAUGGGCGCAAGCCUGAUGCAGCGACGCCGCGUGGGGGAUGACGGCCUUCGGGUUGUAAACCCCUUUCAGCACAGACGAAGCGUAAGUGACGGUAUGUGCAGAAGAAGCACCGGCCAACUACGUG
rnacentral:rRNA from 1 species